rnacentral:rRNA from 1 species
GGGAGCCGGAGGGAAACCGAGUCUUAACCGGGCGUUAAGUUGCAGGGUAUAGACCCGAAACCCGGUGAUCUAGCCAUGGGCAGGUUGAAGGUUGGGUAACACUAACUGGAGGACCGAACCGACUAAUGUUGAAAAAUUAGCGGAUGACCUGUGGCUGGGGGUGAAAGGCCAAUCAAACCGGGAGAUAGCUGGUUCUCCCCGAAAGCUAUUUAGGUAGCGCCUCGUGAAUUCAUCUCCGGGGGUAGAGCACUGUUUCGGCUAGGGGGCCAUCCCGGCUUACCAACCCGAUGCAAACUGCGAAUACCGGAGAAUGUUAUCACGGGAGACACACGGCGGGUGCUAACGUCCGUCGUGAAGAGGGAAACAACCCAGACCGCCAGCUAAGGUCCCAAAGUCAUGGUUAAGUGGGAAACGAUGUGGGAAGGCCCAGACAGCCAGGAUGUUGGCUUAGAAGCAGCCAUCAUUUAAAGAAAGCGUAAUAGCUCACUGGUCGAGUCGGCCUGCGCGGAAGAUGUAACGGGGCUAAACCAUGCACCGAAGCUGCGGCAGCGACGCUGAUGCGUUGUUGGGUAGGGGAGCGUUCUGUAAGCCUGCGAAGGUGGCCUGUGAGGGUUGCUGGAGGUAUCAGAAGUGCGAAUGCUGACAUAAGUAACGAUAAAGCGGGUGAAAAGCCCGCUCGCCGGAAGACCAAGGGUUCCUGUCCAACGUUAAUCGGGGCAGGGUGAGUCGACCCCUAAGGCGAGGCCGAAAGGCGUAGUCGAUGGGAAACGGGUUAAUAUUCCCGUACUUGGUGUUACUGCGAAGGGGGGACGGAGAAGGCUAUGUUGGCCGGGCGACGGUUGUCCCGGUUUAAGCGUGUAGGUGUGUGUUCCAGGUAAAUCCGGUUCACUUUAACACUGAGGCGUGAUGACGAGGCACUACGGUGCUGAAGCAACAAAUGCCCUGCUUCCAGGAAAAGCCUCUAAGCAUCAGGUAACAUCAAAUCGUACCCCAAACCGACACAGGUGGUCAGGUAGAGAAUACCAAGGCGCUUGAGAGAACUCGGGUGAAGGAACUAGGCAAAAUGGUGCCGUAACUUCGGGAGAAGGCACGCUGACACGUAGGUGAAGUGAUUUACUCAUGGAGCUGAAGUCAGUCGAAGAUACCAGCUGGCUGCAACUGUUUAUUAAAAACACAGCACUGUGCAAACACGAAAGUGGACGUAUACGGUGUGACGCCUGCCCGGUGCCGGAAGGUUAAUUGAUGGGGUCAGCGCAAGCGAAGCUCCUGAUCGAAGCCCCGGUAAACGGCGGCCGUAACUAUAACGGUCCUAAGGUAGCGAAAUUCCUUGUCGGGUAAGUUCCGACCUGCACGAAUGGCGUAAUGAUGGCCAGGCUGUCUCCACCCGAGACUCAGUGAAAUUGAACUCGCUGUGAAGAUGCAGUGUACCCGCGGCAAGACGGAAAGACCCCGUGAACCUUUACUAUAGCUUGACACUGAACAUUGAGCCUUGAUGUGUAGGAUAGGUGGGAGGCUUUGAAGUGUGGACGCCAGUCUGCAUGGAGCCGACCUUGAAAUACCACCCUUUAAUGUUUGAUGUUCUAACGUGGACCCGUGAUCCGGGUUGCGGACAGUGUCUGGUGGGUAGUUUGACUGGGGCGGUCUCCUCCUAAAGAGUAACGGAGGAGCACGAAGGUUGGCUAAUCCUGGUCGGACAUCAGGAGGUUAGUGCAAUGGCAUAAGCCAGCUUGACUGCGAGCGUGACGGCGCGAGCAGGUGCGAAAGCAGGUCAUAGUGAUCCGGUGGUUCUGAAUGGAAGGGCCAUCGCUCAACGGAUAAAAGGUACUCCGGGGAUAACAGGCUGAUACCGCCCAAGAGUUCAUAUCGACGGCGGUGUUUGGCACCUCGAUGUCGGCUCAUCACAUCCUGGGGCUGAAGUAGGUCCCAAGGGUAUGGCUGUUCGCCAUUUAAAGUGGUACGCGAGCUGGGUUUAGAACGUCGUGAGACAGUUCGGUCCCUAUCUGCCGUGGGCGCUGGAGAACUGAGGGGGGCUGCUCCUAGUACGAGAGGACCGGAGUGGACGCAUCACUGGUGUUCGGGUUGUCAUGCCAAUGGCACUGCCCGGUAGCUAAAUGCGGAAGAGAUAAGUGCUGAAAGCAUCUAAGCACGAAACUUGCCCCGAGAUGAGUUCUCCCUGAGACUUUAGGUCUCCUGAAGGAACGUUGAAGACGACGACGUUGAUAGGCCGGGUGUGUAAGCGCAGCGAUGCGUUGAGCUAACCGGUACUAAUGAACCGUGAGGCUUAACCUU